UAAAGAAUUUCGGUAUGGGAUGGGGAUGCGUUCCAUUAGUUAGUUGGCGGGGUAACGGCCCACCAAGACAACGAUGGAUAGGGGUUCUGAGAGGAAGGUCCCCCACAUUGGAACUGAGACACGGUCCAAACUCCUACGGGAGGCAGCAGUGAGGAAUAUUGGUCAAUGGACGAGAGUCUGAACCAGCCAAGUAGCGUGAAGGAUGACUGCCCUACGGGUUGUAAACUUCUUUUAUAUGGGAAUAAAAUGUUCCACGUGUGGGAUUUUGUAUGUACCAUAUGAAUAAGGAUCGGCUAACUCCGUGCCAGCAGCCGCGGUAAUACGGAGGAUCCGAGCGUUAUCCGGAUUUAUUGGGUUUAAAGGGAGCGUAGGUGGAUUGUUAAGUCAGUUGUGAAAGUUUGCGGCUCAACCGUAAAAUUGCAGUUGAAACUGGCAGUCUUGAGUACAGUAGAGGUGGGCGGAAUUCGUGGUGUAGCGGUGAAAUGCUUAGAUAUCACGAAGAACUCCGAUUGCGAAGGCAGCUCACUGGACUGCAACUGACACUGAGGCUCGAAAGUGUGGGUAUCAAACAGGAUUAGAUACCCUGGUAGUCCACACAGUAAACGAUGAAUACUCGCUGUUUGCGAUAUAUGCAA
rnacentral:rRNA from 1 species